rnacentral:rRNA from 1 species
UAGGUGAACCUGUGGAAGGAUCAUUAU